AAUGUAUCUCUUUGGUGACCAGGAUGGUUGGUCCUGCUUGGAGUCUGAGGUUAGGGGGCAAGAUUCUGUGAAUGCCUACCCUGUGCUGCAUCCUCAGCUGGGCACUGUCCCAUAGGCUCUUUAGUCCCCACCUCAACCUAAAAGAGGAAACUAGUGUAGCCAUGGCAUACAUGGCUAAGAUUUUAAGGAUCCAAGGGGCUGUGACAUUGGAUCAAAGACUUAAAGGUGGCAAAUGGCAGAGCCGUCUUCCAGGUGGAACCAGAGACCCAUUCCUCUUGUGCUCCCAGCACCAACUGCUUCCCUCCCUCAGAGCCUUUAAAACACUGCACUGCUUGUCUCUCUCUCCAUUAUCCUGAGUGCUCUUGCAGGUCAAUAACUAGUUCUGCACUCCUCAUCCCAGAGGUCAGCACAGGCUGGCAUGGAAGAGGAAGUACCUAUGAAAUGGCUUACAGAGGGAAGGAGGAAAAAUGGAAGUGUCCAGGAAGAUGCAUUUCUACCCAGCAUCACCCCUCCUGACAUUAGGAACUAGUUAAGGCUCCCUGAUGGCCAGAAGCAAGAGUCAACAUCUCUGCAACGUAAGCCUUCUGGUAUCUGAUAUCCCCACCAUCUGCCCUCACUCUUGCCCCAGAGCGUCUCCAGGUGAGCAGAGAUUAUGAUUGCCAAAGGGAGCCAUUUCAGGCCUCAGACCCCCAAGCUUCACCAGAGAAAGCCCCUGUCCUGGUAAAAUAUGAUGUCACUUUCCCAUUCAGCCUUGGUUAGCUGUUCUAUGAGCCAGGCAGAGUAGGGAUCUGUUCAUAUCUAUACUUGCCCCCAGGGAGUAGCAACAAUGGACUCAUGAUAUAAGAACUCAGUGACCAGUGGUACCUGCCAGUGGCCCACAAAAUUGUAUUGUUGAGCUGACUUCCUCCAAGUUUUUGGAGGGGGUGGGUGGAACCAGAGCUGGGCCUGGUUCCACUGCAGAGUGUGCAGGUCACUAGAACAACCAGGAGAAGGAAAUCUAAUGGCUGGAUCACAGUUAUUGAUGUUACACCUCUGACCUUUUCUCAAAACCUUUGCAAACCAUUGUUUGGAUUUGCAAUACUGGAAACUAUCAGCGGAAGGUCUUGACUGUGAGCAAAGAUAAAGUUAUGAACUCUGGGAACUGCGCUGUGCCAGAAAAGUGCUUCCCAAGGUUUCAUGUGCAGACAAAGCACCUGGGGAUCUUGCUAAAAUGCAGACACUGAUUCGAUAGGUCUGAGGUGAGACCUGAUGCUAUGUUUCUAAGCAACUUUUGGGUGAUCCUGCUGGUCCACGGAUUACUCCUGGAAGAGCAAGGGGCCCAGGCUGGAGCUGGCUCACGCUGGCUAAGACUAACAUUCUACUCACUUCCUUGCCUCAACACACAGAAGGAGCCCAGUGCCUGUUGGGAAUAUCCAAACUCUCUACCUUGCAAGAU
rnacentral:lncRNA from 10 species